GUACUGAUGGCCAAGUGGUUAGAGGGUUAGCCUAGUACGAUAAUAGGUCAGGGGUUCGACUCCUCGUUACA